GUGCCAGCCGCCGCGGUAAUACGGAGGGUGCAAGCGUUAUCCGGAUUCACUGGGUUUAAAGGGUGCGUAGGUGGAUUAGUAAGUCAGUGGUGAAAUCUCCGGGCUUAACCCGGAAACUGCCAUUGAUACUAUUAGUCUUGAAUACCGUGGAGGUCAGCGGAAUAUGUCAUGUAGCGGUGAAAUGCUUAGAUAUGACAUAGAACACCAAUUGCGAAGGCAGCUGGCUACACGAAUAUUGACACUCAGGCACGAAAGCGUGGGGAUCAAACAGGAUUAGAUACCCUAGUAGUCC
rnacentral:rRNA from 1 species